rnacentral:misc_RNA from 1 species
UAGUUUAUUCAUUCUUUGGUGUCAAUCGAGUAAUCCGAGUACCUAUUAUUUUAAAAUAUAUAUAUUUUUCUGCUUAGAUUUCUGCUAUCAAUGUACAAAUCUCUUUACAACUAAUUCACAAAAUUAUCUUAAAUUUACGCUGUGUACAGGGACGUCAGUCUCAUUGUUAUCAGCACAGGCCACAGACGCUGCGCACAACGCACAAGUGCCGUAAGCAGUAAGUGGGCACCGGGCACGCAUAGACAGCCAGUCGACGAGGUGACACGGUAGCGAGCAGCCGCGCCGCAGCACGAGCCAGCAUAGCAUCCAGUGAGCAGGAUGACCGAGGAGGUGAAGCUGUUCACGCGGGAGGAGCUGAAGGCGCGCAACAAGCGCACAGACGCCGUGCUCAUCAUACACAACGGCGUCUACGACGUCACCAAGUUCCUCGACGAGCAUCCCGGCGGUGAGGAGGUGCUGCUGGAGAAGGCUGGCCAGGACGCCACGGAGCCCUUCGAGGACGUCAGCCACAGCUCCGAUGCUAGGUCUCUUAUGAAGAAGUACAAAAUCGGCGAGCUGGUGGAGGCGGACCGCACGGCAAACAAGGCUGCGUACGCGCCGGACUGGAACAACGACCAGCCGCAGGAGCAGGGCAACAGUGCGUGGAGCUCGUGGCUGGCGCCGCUGGUGCUGGGCGUGGCGGCCACCAUCCUCUAUCGGUACCUGUUCGCGUAGCCUCACUUCUGCCCAGGCCACCGCCCGCCAUCACCCGCAACCAGCCGCCGCGCGACGCCUCUCGCCACUACCCCAAUAUUUCUAUAGGUACAUUGCUACGAGCGAUACUAUUUGCUUGGCGCUCUUUCGGGUACUCUUUUCUUUCCAUCCACUUUUUUACAUUGUAUGUAUGUAUGUAUGAGAUUGACAACACAAGUAUUUCUAUGUUGUUUUGAUAUUGUAAUUGCCAAAUAUUUGUAAACCUUACCACUGUAAUAUUUCACAUUUAUGGUUCACCACAAAUGAUCUGAUACCAUUUUGUGUAUUUACUUCUGAAAUUAUAUUUUGAGAAGAUUUCAAUCUAUAGACAAUAAUAUGAAGAGAGAGAUUACAAAUACCUAUUUAAGUUUAUAUGAAAUAUGUUUUUAUAAUGAUUAAUGAUACAAUUUGGCACAAGGUGUGAAAUGAUUGAACCUCUAUUGAAGUGUAGAUAAGUUUUAUUUGCUUUGUAAUUUCUGGAUGUAUAGUAUUAAGGCAUUCUUGUAUGAAACCAGAGCGAUUUUAGUUUACCUUGGCCAUGACUUGUAAAGUGGCAGACAAAGAAAAAGUUAAAAGAACUAUGAAUCUUAUAAAAUAUUUUUAAUGCCUUUAGCAUAAGCAAUAAUAUUUGUUUAGAAUGUGUGGUUCGUAUUGUGGCUUGUAUAGACCGGGGGUAUCUUGGGUGCUGAUGUUAAGAGUAAAUAUGUUUGUUACAAUGUCAAUUAUAUAUGUAUUUACGUAACAACACAUUAUACAUGUUCUUACGAUGGGUAGGAGGUGCACAAACUAUAUCUAUGUUAAAUUACCAUAUUAAUGCUUCAGGUGUACAUAUACAAUGCUAUAAAAGAAACUGUAAUGAGGAAUACUUAAAAUACACUCCACAAAGGAAUGUUUAUGUUCACAUCAGCCGUGCAGCCAGUGCAUGUGUUGUGUGGACAGUCAGACUGAGUGGCAUUUACCUGCAUACAUGGCCUUAUUUAAUUGGUAUUUUCUAAGUUUAACAUUUUAUACAAAAAUUGUAUGACAUUGAAAUAUUUAGGAAAUUUUAUGUAAAUUAUUUAUUCUUAUUUUGUGUGGGUUAUGAGAUCAAUUACCAAGGGUUAUAAGAUCAAUUACCAACCUCAUCAACCCUGGAGCCAGGGUUACUUUCAUUUAAAAUGAGUUUUGUUGUAUAUGCAUAAAUUAAAUAUUAUUUGAAUUAAUAAAGGAUUUUUAUUUUA